AAUGCAUGAUGUGGACAUUUUCUAAGCAAUUCCUUAAAUCUUCCCAACUCCUAAAAAUGGUUUCUCCUUCAAAUUGAGUUAAAGAUGUUAUGUCAUUUCUAAGUUU